GUAUUCUAGAAGGAGGCUGCUCCAUCCACCCAGGCUACAGAGUGAGGAUACUGUGGGUCCGACCUGCACCUGACCAGCAAUGAAUGGGCACUGUGGCUAAAAAAUAAAUCUUCGCUCCUGCAGGCCGCUGAGGCACGGAGAUCAUUUGUCACUGGAGCAUAGUCUAACCUAGCCCGAUGAGGUGUUGCGUGUAAAGCAAAAAAUUUUUCUGGUUUUGUCUUUAAGGGGAGCGAGAGGGAGGAAGACCCAGAGUGAAGUCUUGGCAGCAGCUGGAAACCUUGAGGCACCCAAGUGAGCAAAAGGAGCCCUGGAAGAGGGGUCACUGGCUCUGGCUCUUGUCCCAGCUCUGCCACCCCAUAUUCGUCAAAUACCUCUGAACACCUUCUGCUGCCAUCAAGGCGACAGAGCAUCACAAUUAAGCCCCUGAACAGAUCUCAGGUUUAUCAACAUUUCAUCAAUGAAGCAUUCCUGACCCGCAUGACAAAGUCAAGGCCGACCCUGUAGAUGCUCCGAUGGCAUUUAUGGUUAUGCAGUCACCUGCUCUAGGGACAGCAGCUGCCGCCUUGCGAGGACACUUGAGCAGCUCCGUAGAGAGGCCUACCCGGUGAGGCUCCAACCCCGCCUGCCGACAGCCACAUGCCCGGGCUGCCGGGGCUGCCGGGGCAGCGGGCCCUCCAGCCCCAGCCGAACCUUCUGAGGAGCGCAGCCCCUGCUGACGUCUUGACUCAGGGAGCCUGAGCCAGGCCCAGACACUGCUGGAUUCUUGACCCACAGGAAUGAAGUGAUAAUAAGUGUUGGUUGUUUUAAGUCACUAAAUGUCGUGGACUAAUUUGUUGUGCUGCACAGAUAACAAACUCAGAAGGGGAGGAGCCCGCAUAUGGGUGCCUCGGAAAAGUGACCCAGGGACAGCAGGUGCAAAGGCCCUGCACCUCCAUGCACCUGGCUCAGCCCUUGUCUGUUUGAUCCUCAGUUUCCUCAUUUGUCAAAGGGAAGAAGCAACACCGCUCUUGCCCCUCUCAGGGGAUGUUAUUGGAUGGGCAACUCGAUGACAGACCUAGGCAGGAUCAGGGAGGCAGACUAGCCCAGCCGUACAGGCGAUGGCAGCCAUCAAGAUGCAGGCUGGCUCCCCUGUGCGGGCACCAUCUUUGCUGCGGCUGCUGCUUUCUGCCC